GGCAAUUUUCAAAUCAAGAUUGGAUUUUUUUCGCAAAAGCUCUGCCCUAGGAAUGAUUUUGGGGCAGGUCUCUGGCCUGGGAAAUACUCACUGGUCCCUUCC